AUUGAACGCUGGCGGCAGGCCUAACACAUGCAAGUCGAACGAGUGGCGGACGGGUGAGUAAUGUCUGGGAAACUGCCCGAUGGAGGUGGAUAACUACUGGAAACGGUCGCUAAUACCGCAUACCAUCGGAUGUGCCCAGAGGGGAUUAGCUUGUAGGUGAGGUGACGGCUCACCUAGGCGACGAUCCCUAGCUGGUCUGAGAGGAUGGCCAGACACACUGGAACGGUGACACGGUCGAGAAUCCGACGGGAGGCAGCAGGGGGGAAUAUUGCACAAUGGGAGCAAGCCUGAUGCAGCCAUGGCGCGUGUAUGAAGAAGGCCUUCGGGUUGUAAAGUACUUUCAGCGGGGAGGCGUUACACGCAGAAGAAGCACCGGAUAACGCAGUGCCAGCAGCCGCGGUAAUAC
rnacentral:rRNA from 1 species